UCUGCUUUGAAGGACAGCUAGUGGGGAAAAAGAUGGAUUCUUCAGAAAAAGCAAUCGUAAAAUCACUAUUAUUGCUGCGUUUUGUGCCUGCAUUCCUCAGAUGUUGCUCAACUUCGUUUAUUUUCUGUCAGGCACCUUGUUGGGGAACUAAAGGGUCCUCGGGAAGAUGUUUGGCUCUCGGAUGCGGCAGACGGCUGUUAUUGUUUUUUUUGUCUUUGAAGCCUAUCUGCAUUUGUGAUGAAAAUAUCCGACAGAAACAUCCGAGGCAGUACAAUUCAGACAGACGGCCUGACAGCUCCUCUUCUGUUUCUGGGCCUCACCUCCGUCGGUGCAUGGGACGUGCGAGCCGCAAAGCGACAAGCGAGGGAGAGCUCCCCUGGCCAUUACUUCCCCCCGUGUGACAGCAGCUGGCCUUAUCUGCUCGAACCGACGUGUGCUGGGGCCCCCGCGCUGAUGAAUCGACAGCAGGUCGUGUCGGCUCCCACUAUGUCUACAUCUCACUUGCGCACUCACCCGUGAAGCUGCCAUGAUGAGUGCAAAACAGGAGUAAAAAAAAAUAAAAAAUCCAGAAACAGGGUUAUUCCAAACACCCCAAAAUGAAGUGUGAAAGUACUGUAUUUAUUUUAUUCUAUUAAUUUGUUUUACCAAAGUAAAUGUAUAUAAAUAUAUAUAUAUAUUUGUGUGUGCGUGUGUGUGUGUGUGUGUGUGUGUCACUGAUGGUGUAGUGGUACACUCGCCUGACUUUGGUUCGGGCAGCGUGGGUUCAGUUCCCACUCAGUGACGGUGUGAAUGUGAGUGCGAAUGGUUGUCUGUUUCUAUAUGUGCCCUGCGACUGACUGGCGCAGGGUGUAGUCCGCCUUUCGCCCGAAGUCUGCUGGGAUAGGCUCCAGCGCCCCGCGACCCUAACCAGGAUAAGUGGUGUUGAGAAUGGAUGGAUGUGUUGACACCCUUAUGCUUGAACAUGGUGUUCGUUAUGGAUAAUCCGUGAUGAGCACAGAAGUCCAAUAACAGCACACCACUCGGGUUCUGAUCGAGGGGCCGUUCCUCCCAAUCACGCCCUUCCAGGUCUCACUGUCAUUGCCCACGUGAGCAUCGAAGCCCCCAAGAGAACGAUGGAGUCCCCAGCAGGAGCGCUCUCCAGCAAAAAGGGUGGGUACUCUGAUCUGCUGUUUGGUGCAUGGGCACAAAUAACAACCAGGACCCGUCCCCCCAC